CGACAAAAUAAAUUCGUCUGUAUUCGACGAAAGGAAGAAUUGUAUACGUAUUGUGUAUAUUCUAUAGAUGGGAGGUGCCGUGCUGUGAGACAGAGCUGGAUGUUAGUCUGUUUUGAAUGGCCGAUUAACUUAUGCCAUGAAAGUACAAUUCAAUAACAUGCAUUUGCUAGAGCAUAAUAUUAUACUAGUCGGAAAUAGACCCAUUGCACUGACGUCACAAAUCCUUAGAGUGUCCUCCAGAUGCUCCCUAACAAUAUCUGUUCGGGUACAACAACCACAUACAACGCAAAAAUUAACCUUUUUAAUACAAAAUUAUUAUAAACUUUUACAAAAUUUGCUUUGUUUACAAAAGUUUUUUUUUAUGCAUAGAUUGCUAAUUUGUUCUCCAGAUGCAUCGUCACCGGCGCUGUGACAUCAUGUGCAAUGGGUCUAUUAGUCGAGUCAACAGACCAAACACUGUUGCAAUGAUAUGGUGUUCUAUACGGUUUCUCUCCGAAAUAACUUAAAGAAACGAUUUUCAAUUUGAAUAAAUUUGAUCAAAUUAUUUUAAAGAUGUACAUGAUAAGCUCAUAAAGCAGUGGUAAUAUGUGAUGUAAAUGUGCAAAACUAACCACAUAUUGUUUGAUGCGGG
rnacentral:lncRNA from 1 species